AUUGAACGCUGGCGGCAGGCCUAACACAUGCCAGUCGAGCGGAUGAAGGGAGCUUGCUCCUGGAUUCAGCGGCGGACGGGUGAGUAAUGCCUAGGAAUCUGCCUGGUAGUGGGGGAUAACGUCCGGAAACGGGCGCUAAUACCGCAUACGUCCUGAGGGAGAAAGUGGGGGAUCUUCGGACCUCACGCUAUCAGAUGAGCCUAGGUCGGACUAGCUAGUUGGUGGGGUAAAGGCCUACCAAGGCGACGAUCCGUAACUGGUCUGAGAGGAUGAUCAGUCACACUGGAACUGAGACACGGUCCAGACUCCUACGGGAGGCAGCAGUGGGGAAUAUUGGACAAUGGGCGAAAGCCUGAUCCAGCCAUGCCGCGUGUGUGAAGAAGGUCUUCGGAUUGUAAAGCACUUUAAGUUGGGAGGAAGGGCAGUAAGUUAAUACCUUGCUGUUUUGACGUUACCAACAGAAUAAGCACCGGCUAACUUCGUG
rnacentral:rRNA from 1 species